UCCCUUACAUUACUCGUUACUUGAAAAAAGUAAUCAGAUUACAGUAACGCGUUACAAGUAACGCGUUACUGCCCAUCUCUGGUGGUGGCUCAUGGUAAACUGACACCCCAGUGGUGUACUGAUGUCUGUGUGACUGAAAAAUAGCUGAGUCAUUAGGUUGGCACUGUCGCUGCACAUAUAACACUGACUACUGACCAGCUACACAAGAUCUAACACUCCAAGACUGACUGGUGAAGAAAACACUGAAGUGGAGCCAUGCUGUGACUGAUAUGCUCUGCGCUGCACAAUGUGGCUGCCUGGGUCGUGUCUUGCUGUUGCUCCUCAGCAAAGGACGGGACAUCAUCAGGAGAGACAUACACGUGUAAAGGAAAGCAAGUGUGGACGGUGUCUGAUGAUGCAGCACCAUCCAGUCAAAAGCCUUCCUAAUUCCUCUCAGCAGUGCGGAGAGGAACGACAGCCACAUUUUCUCCACCCGGACACCCUGCAAAGUGUUUGAUCGCCGCUCUGGUCUGACUCUGUGUUGCUCUGUGCUUGUUAUAAUGAUGACUUAUCUAAAAACUCCUGUUUGGGAAGCUGGAUAAGGUCUGACAGCUGACAAAUACGGCAGCAUCAGUCAGGUCAUUAUGUCACAUCACGACUUUAACCAAUAAAGAGUU